UUCGUCAUCCUCCCACCUCCGUUAACUCGCUACGCUCCUGCGAGGAAAACCCGUGCCAAACAAAACCAUACGAUCGAUCCCUCCUGCCCAUAGCAGCGACCUCGAUCCCAUCCUUGAUUGCCGACUCCUCUCGAUCCCAUCUCUACUCCAAUACGAGCCGCCGCCGAGAUCCGAAACGAUCCGCCGCCGCCGAGGACCGAUUGGAGCCGCCGCGGGCGCUGGCCUCCUGCCCUCGUUCGGCGCCGCCGCCGCUCCAUUCCUGCUGCCUUGACCCUCUCUUCCCUCCAAGCUUGCCGCCGGCGACGAAGCGUACGGCACCGCUACGGUCGUGCUCGAUCGCCUCCAGGAACCCGGCACGCGUGGCGAGGCGAGGGACUCCUGGGCUCCUUCCAUCACCGCUUUGCCGAUGACCCCGCCGCCGGGCAGGAGUGCUUCCGCGCCUCCAGGAACCCGCCACGCACAUCAAGGUGAAGAAUCCUUUCCACCUGCAGAGGGUGCCGUGCGGGUUUCGCCGGUCUGUGGUCGGCUGCGAUGAAUUGGGCGUCCUGCUGUCUUUUCUUCUUGUGGGUGCUAUUUGUUCGUGUGGACGGAGGUACCCGUGCUGGGGUUCGUGUGGAUUUAAGAUUAGCCGGCAUGGUUGAUUGGGAUUAAGAUCGGACUAUUCCUAAACAUGCCAAAUGUUGCCUGGAUGAUUGGGAUUAAGAUUGACUAAUCCUAACCAUGCCAAUGUUGUGCUUGCAGUGCUUCUUUGGCACCGGCACAAUUCUGGUCGAGUACCUACUCUUCAGGUUAGGCCUGCUGUCUUUGGCCGAGUGUUAGUUUUAUUAACAAGGAUAUUACAAACAAAAUUUAGAAGGAUUUGGAAGUUUUACACUACAAAAUAAUGGUAGUAGCAUGUUUGGUGCUGAAAGGGUUCUGCUGCAGUGCAAGUUACUUGAGAGAAGAAAUUGUUCAACUUAAAUAAAAUAUGUUCAUUGAUCCAGUGGUAAGCUAUUCCGAAUUUAUUUCAUGAUGUGGCUGCUCAUGUCUGAUUCUUGCUCAUCUGGUGUUCAUUUACACACUUGGUAAUGAUUCUGCAGUUCUUUUCCACACUUGGCCAUGGUAAUCAGGAUUAUGCCAGGCUUGGUCAAGACUAUGCUACAAAAUGGCCUGAAGUGGUGGCUCACUACUACUGUUAUUUCCAUGUUGUUCUUUUAAACUCCACUUCUCUGUUAUAGGCACCUUUUUGUUAAACAACUCCACUUCUAUGUUGUAGGUACCUUAUAGGCAACGGAUGCAGGGUAAAGAGAGUUGCCAUACGUUUUUACGAGCAGAAUUGUGGCAUGCUUUGUUCAAGAUCUGCUGCAGUCAGUAAAUAUUUGUAUGGUCUGCAAUUCUGCAUACUACUAAAGGAGUUACAACUGAGCACUGUACUCGGAGAAAAUUACCAAGGUUCUACUUCGUCCUGGCGCCACUCCCAUCCUUGUCUGCCUCAUGGUCGCGGUCCUAGCCGUGGAUGAUGCCAUUGUGCCGUACUCCCUACUUACCCCUGCAUGACAACCGCGCUACUAUGCCGCUAUGCAAUCAGAUGCUUGUCUCCGUCCUUGUCAGUCCACAGGCAUUGCUCAUAUUUUUGUCCCUAAAAAAUAUUGGAGAGAUAUGCUAAUUUCCUGAAGUUGAAUGUUCUCUUUGAGCACCUCAGUGAUUAAAGAUUAGAUGGAUUUUCCCCUAGGUACAUUGUCAUGUAAGGAAAUUUCCUCAAAGGUGUUUCAAAUUAGUUUGCCGAAUUGCUGAUUGUACCGCUUGAAUGCAGCUAGGAAUAUAGACCAAGUGAUGAUGGCUACCUUUUGGUUCUUAUAAUUGAGUCACAAGCACUUAUAUUGCAUUGUUUUUAUUAUAGUUCACGAGGUUGACUAAUUUGUGAGGCAGUGGCAGUGCAAACAUCGUCAUCUUUUUUUGGUUGACAGUACGAAAUAGUGGCAUCUUGAUGUUGAAGCAAGAUUGUUUGCAAGACAACAUAUGACACCAUCUUCAUUGCCCUUUUUCGUCUCAGGAAUGAAGGUUUAAUGGCUGGACUAUCAUGCUGUCUACUUGGUUUCAGCUGUACAUAUCUUAAUACUUGACCUUCAGUGAGGACUCGUUUCUUAGGAGAAAUAGUAGGAGAGCAACAAUUGAUUGGUAAGUCUUGCUUGCUAUUAGUUGCAUAAUUAAUAUUGAAAUUCGUUAGUUUGCUUCAAGGUUACAAAGCCAGCAAUGAAUGAGACUAUCAUUAUUAGGAUUGAAGGAUGGUUCAAUGUUGUUGAUAGCAGUAAGAAACACUUGCAAAUGUAUGUCUCGUCUAUUUAAAUGUGUGCUCUAAAAAUAAAUGUACACAACUGUCACAAUAUUGUUUACUACAAUAUUUGAAUUAGAAGUAGUAGUUUUAUGUUUUUGUUUAGUUUUAUAGUAUCUCAGUUAUGAAAUAAAUCCAAGCCUUCCUCCAAAUAGGUUUUUUUGCCUUGAUUUUUAUAAUUCAAAUAAUUUUCGUAUUUUAUAAUAUUCAAACAAAAUGGUUUGUAGAGUCAAUGUUCUCUGACUUAGGUAGCUUUAAUUUAAUGCACUGACGAAGCGUUUUACCUGAGACGAGUGCUGGGAGAGGCUGAUUAGGAUUGCAACGAGGGGGAGACGUCGAUGCUGCCGCUGGCGACCGUUACCGCGACCAUGGCUGUGGGAGUGAGGCGCCGGCGACCAUGACAUCGACCGUGUUGGCCCAUGGUGUUUCUGACUUUCCACGCUCCGUUCCAGGUAGCUGCCAUUCCGAUUGAUCCCCUCCAGGUGAGUGAGCAGCUUACACUCAACCGAUGAAGGCAUCCAAAGGUUCGACUAGGUGGGUAGGAACUCAGCUGGGCUCACUUCCAUUUGCAUUCUUGUCUGCAACAUCGGAUACUCCGGGAGGUUCAUGCAUGUUUGUUUUCUAUAUGUUUUUUCUCAUAAUGCAGGGCACAAAGAUAGGUCUCCUUUUAGUUACCAUAGAUUUUAGUUUUUUUCUGCUUACUGUCUUCUCCACUUUCUUGUCAGAUUAAGCAACUAACAAAUGAAUCUGUGCACAUUUAUACCA